UUUAUUUAUUUGUUUAUGUGUCACUCAGAGGAGAAAACCACUAAAGACAUGAGAGUUUGGGGCCUCCGGCGGGCGCCGUGUUCCGGGCCCGAAGGCGCCGGGGCGGUCCCGCCGAAGCAACGAUAUGGUAAGGUUCACAAAGGGUUUGGGAGUUUGUAAACUCGGUAAUGAUCCCUCCGCUGGUUCACCAACGGAGA
rnacentral:misc_RNA from 1 species